UACGUAGGGACCAAGCGUUGUUCGGAUUUACUGGGCGUAAAGGGCGCGUAGGCGGCAAUUCAAGUCAUCUGUGAAAUCUCUGGGCUUAACCCAGAACGGCCAGGUGAUACUGCUUUGCUAGAGUGCGGAAGGGGCAAUCGGAAUUCUUGGUGUAGCGGUGAAAUGCGUAGAUAUCAAGAGGAACACCUGAGGCGAAGGCGGGUUGCUAGGCUGACACUGACGCUGAGUGCGCGAAAGCCAGGGGAGCAAACGGG
rnacentral:rRNA from 1 species